rnacentral:rRNA from 1 species
CCUUGACAUACUAAGAACUUUCCAGAGAUGGAUUGGUGCCUUCGGGAACUUAGAUACAGGUGCUGCAUGGCUGUCGUCAGCUCGUGUCGUGAGAUGUUGGGUUAAGUCCCGCAACGAGCGCAACCCUUUUUCCUAUUUGCCAGCGGGUAAUGCCGGGAACUUUAAGGAUACUGCCAGUGACAAACUGGAGGAAGGCGGGGACGACGUCAAGUCAUCAUGGCCCUUACGGCCAGGGCUACACACGUGCUACAAUGGUCGGUACAAAGGGUUGCUACCUCGCGAGAGGAUGCUAAUCUCAAAAAGCCGAUCGUAGUCCGGAUCGCAGUCUGCAACUCGACUGCGUGAAGUCGGAAUCGCUAGUAAUCGCGGAUCAGAAUGCCGCGGUGAAUACGUUCCCGGGCCUUGUACACACCGCCCGUCACACCAUGGGAGUUUGUUGCACCAGAAGUAGGUAGUCUAACCGCAAGGAGGACGCUUACCACGGUGUGGCCGAUGACUGAGGUGAAGUCGUAACAAGGUAAGCGUAGAUGA